GAGCCCACAAGUACCUGCCUGUGAGCACACACGUGCUUAGAGCAGCCAGACCCGGGAGGGAUUUGGGGGAAGGAGACACACCAGGAACUCACCCGCAGAGGCCAGCAGCCCCUCAGCACAGGAAUCGCAACAUCUUUGGAAAAAGAGGAAUGGAGGUAGAAGUGGCCCUUACCCCUAACCAGUCUCCUGCCUGGCUGAGUCUUGGGGAGGAAGGGUUUCUGGAGAGGGCAUGGCUGCUCUCCACAGUCUGGGCCUCCAAGCCAUGGCUCUGUUCCUAACCCCCACCUGCUGUCAGGAGCACUUUGGAGAUGCAGUUUUGCCACGUUGGCCAGGCUGGUCUAGAACUCCUGACCUCAAGUGAUCUACCCUCCUCGGCCUCCCAAAGUGCUGGGAUUAGAGGUGUGCACCACUGCCCCCAGCCCAUGAGCCACUGCACCCAGCUCAGUAAGCACUUUAAAAGAAGACCUGGACAUCAGAGCCUCUCUCCUGCUGGUUUUGAAGAAGCAAGCUGCCACAAGUCUACAGCUGUAAGGAAAUGAAUUGUGCCAACGAUCCCAUGUGCUUGAAAGAGGACCCUGAACCUCAGAUGAGACCCAGUCCCAGGAGACAGAUUGAGUGCUGCCUCUCAGGACCCUGAACAGAGGAGCCAGUUGAACCAUCAACAGGCUCCUGACCCACAGAAACUGUGAGACAAUAAACGUGUAUUGUCUUAAGCUCCUAAGUGUG
rnacentral:lncRNA from 1 species